UUGGGGGAAAAUUAGUAUAAAUAAAAUUAAUAAAAAUAAUUUUUAAUUAAAUAUUACAAUAAUUGGGGGAUUAGAGUAUUUUUUAAAGAAAAAAUUAUAUAUUUUAUAGUAAAUUAGUAUUGUGAAAGAAUUUUGAAAUAGUUGAAAAUUAAUUAUAAAAAAAGUAAAUUUUAAUUAUUGUAUCUUGUGUAUCAGAGUUUAUUAAUUAAAAGAUUUUUGUUAAAUAAUUUUCGAAUUUAAAAGAGCUAAUUAAUUAUGAAAUUUAUUGUAGCAAAAAUAUUUUUAAUAAUUAAUUGGAAAUGAAAUGUUAAUCGUUUUUAAAUAUAUCUAGUUUUUUUAGAAAAAAAUUUAAUUUUAAAUUUAUUAAAUAAAAAAAAAUUAAAUAAAAAAUUUUUUUAAUAUUAAUUUUAAUAUUUUAAGGGAUAAGCUUUAAUUUAAAUUUUUAUAAGAAAAAAAAUUGAAUUUUGAAAAUUUUAAAAUUUAUAUUGUUUAUAAAUUAUAAUUUUUUAUAAAUAAUUUCAUUAAUAAUAAAAUUUAAUUUAAUAUUUAAAUUUUUAUAAAAAAAUAAAAUUUAAUUAUAUAAUUUUAGUUAUAAUGAUAAAAUUAGUAUAAAAUAAUAAAUAAAUUAGUUAUACUUAAUAUACUUGUAAAAUUAAUAAUAAGGAAUUCGGCAAAAUUUAUAUUCACUUGUUUAUCAAAAACAUGUCUUUUUGAUAAUAAUUUAAAGUCUAAUCUGCCCACUGAUAUAAUAAUUAAAGGGCUGCAGUAUUUUGACUGUACAAAGGUAGCAUAAUCAUUAGUCUCUUAAUUGGUGACUUGUAUGAAAGAUUUGAUGAGAUAUAAACUGUCUUAUAUUUAUUUUUAAAAUUUAAUUUUUUAAUUAAAAAGUUAAAAUAUUUUUAAAAGACGAGAAGACCCUAUAGAGUUUAAUAUAAAUUUUAAUUAUAGGUUUAUAUAUUAAUUUAAAAUUUAAAUUAAAAUUUGUAUUUUGUUGGGGUGAUAGAAAAAUAAAAAUAACUUUUUUUUAAAAUAUAUAUAUAUAUAUAUAUAUAUAAUAUUUAACAUAGAUAAAUGAUUAUAUGAUCCAUAAAUUAUGAUUAAAAGAUUAAAUUACCUUAGGGAUAACAGCGUAAUUUUUUUUUUUAGUUCAAAUAAAAAAAAAAGUUUGCGACCUCGAUGUUGGAUUAAGAUAAAAUUUAAAUGCAAAAGUUUAAAAUUUUGAUCUGUUCGAUCAUUAAAAUCUUACAUGAUCUGAGUUCAAACCGGUGUAAGCCAGGUUGGUUUCUAUCUUUAAAAUAUUAAAAUAUUUUAGUACGAAAGGAUCAAAUAUUUAAAAUAAUUUUAUUUAGGGGAAUUUUAUUAAUUUAAUAUAAAAUUUAUAAAUAAGGUAAA
rnacentral:rRNA from 1 species